rnacentral:rRNA from 1 species
AUGGAGAGGAUGGCGUCCUCCUAUUUCAAGGAGAUCUUCACCAAGGAUCGUACCUUGGUUGCAGAUGAGGUUCUGAACUGCAUUGCACCGAAAGUAACCGUCGAGAUGAAUGAGGCCCUCUGCAAGGCGUUUUCUGAGCAGGAAAUCUCGGAUGCCCUAUUCCAGAUUGGUCCCUUGAAGGCCCCUGGGUGUGAUGGCUUUCCUACACGUUUUUAUCAACGGAAUUGGGCGGUGCUCAAACCAGAGAUUAUAGCGGCAGUUCAAGAGUUUUUCAGCACAGGGAUUAUGCCGGAGGGUGUUAAUGACACUUCUAUUGUGUUAAUCCCCAAAGUUCCUCACCCCAAGGAGCUAAAGGAUUUCCGGCCAAUAAGUUUAUGUAAUGUGGUAUACAAGAUUGUGUCUAAGUGCAUGGUGAAUAGGCUGCGGCCUAUGCUUACUGAACUUAUCUCAGAAAACCAAAGCGCCUUUAUCCCAGGGAGACUUAUAUCUGAUAAUUCUAUCAUUGCCUUCGAGUGUAUACACGAUAUUCAAUCGGUGAAGGAGAACUCCCCGGCUUUGUGUGCUUAUAAACUGGACCUCUUGAAGGCCUACGAUCGUGUGGACUGGGAUUUUCUUCAAAAGGCCUUGACAAAGUGGGGUUUCUCAGACAUCUGGGUCUCGAGAGUGAUGGCUUGUGUUACGUCUGUCAGAUACUCAGUGAAGUUUAAUGGCAGGUUACUGGAAUCAUUUUCCCCCUCGAGGGGCUUGCGGCAAGGUGACCCCCUGUCCCUCUUUCUGUUCUUAUUUGUGGCUGAUGCCCUUUCUGCCUUGAUCAGUAAAUCUAUGCGGGAAGAGGGCUUGCAAGGGGUGAAUAUUUGUCGCGGGGCUCCUGUAAUUUCUCAUCUUCUCUUCGCGGAUGAUUCGCUGUUAUUUUUUCAUGCAAACUAA